GAAAACCUGGAGAUGGUCCAAACAUAGAACUGUGAAGGCCAAGCUCAACACUGCCAGUGUCUCAGCAGGAAGGAACAUACUCAGAACCCUACAAGCAGGUAUGGGCUCAUCGAAAACUAAAGCACAUGGAAGUGAAGAAGCAUGUCCACAGGAAGGUACUGCACAACUAUAAGGAAUUUUAAAGAAAUGAUUGUUACGGGCUUCAAAAUGGAACCACCUACCAGCCGAAUGGAUGUAUUUGCCAUUGUUCUACACCAGCUGGGGUCCGAAUAUAUGUCCUGCCUUUGACCUUGAACUCCAGGCUUUAAUCAGCUCCCUGAAGACUUCCACAGCUUUCAGCAUCCAAAUAAAGUAAUA